CCUACGGGAGGCAGCAGUGGGGAAUAUUGCACAAUGGGGGAAACCCUGAUGCAGCGACGCCGCGUGAGCGAUGAAGUAUUUCGGUAUGUACAGCUCUAUCAGCAGGGAAGAAAAUGACGGUACCUGACUACGAAGCCCCGGCUAAAUACGUGCCAGCAGCCUCGGUAAUACGUAGGGGGCAAGCGUUCUCCGGAAUUACUGGGUGUAAAGGGAGCGUAGACGGCUGUGCAAGCCAGAUGUGAAAGCCCGGGGCUCAACCCCGGGACUGCAUUUGGAACUGUGUGGGUGGAGUGUCGGAGAGGCAGGCAGAAUUCCAGGUGUAGCGGUGAAAUGCGUAGAUAUUAGGAGGAACACCGGGGGCGAAGGCGGCCUGCUGGACGAUGACUGACGUUGAGGCGCGAAAGCGUGGGGAGCAAACAGGAUUAGAUACCCCAGUAGUC
rnacentral:rRNA from 1 species